rnacentral:piRNA from 1 species
UCAGUUUUACAGGAUUGUCCUACGGCAGC